AGUGAACGCUGGCGGUAGGCCUAACACAUGCAAGUCGAACGGCAGCACAGUAAGAGCUUGCUCUUACGGGUGGCGAGUGGCGGACGGGUGAGGAAUACAUCGGAAUCUACUUUUUCGUGGGGGAUAACGUAGGGAAACUUACGCUAAUACCGCAUACGACCUACGGGUGAAAGCAGGGGAUCUUCGGACCUUGCGCGAUUGAAUGAGCCGAUGUCGGAUUAGCUAGUUGGCGGGGUAAAGGCCCACCAAGGCGACGAUCCGUAGCUGGUCUGAGAGGAUGAACACCCACAGGGGAACGGAGACGGGGUCAAGCAUCCUAGGGGAGGCAGAAGUGGGAAAUAUGGGACAAGGGGCGCAAGCUGGAUCCAGACAUCCGGCGUGGGGAAAGAAGCCUUGGGGGUUUAAAAGCCUUUUUGUGGGAAAAAAAAAGCAGAAGGUAAAUACCCCGCUGUUCGGAGGGAACCAAAAAAAUAAGAACCGGAAAACUUCGGG
rnacentral:rRNA from 1 species